ACUAAGCGUACACGGUGGAUGCCCUGGCAGUCAGAGGCGAUGAAGGACGUGCUAAUCUGCGAAAAGCGUCGGUAAGGUGAUAUGAACCGUUAUAACCGGCGAUGUCCGAAUGGGGAAACCCAGUGCAAUUCGUUGCACUAUCGUUAACUGAAUACAUAGGUUAACGAGGCGAACCGGGGGAACUGAAACAUCUAAGUACCCCGAGGAAAAGAAAUCAACCGAGAUUCCCCCAGUAGCGGCGAGCGAACGGGGAGCAGCCCAGAGUCUGAAUCAGCUUGUGUGUUAGUGGAACGGUCUGGAAAGUCCGACGGUACAGGGUGAUAGUCCCGUACACCAAAAUGCACAGGUUGUGAACUCGAAGAGUAGGGCGGGACACGUGGUAUCCUGUCUGAAUAUGGGGGGACCAUCCUCCAAGGCUAAAUACUCCUGACUGACCGAUAGUGAACCAGUACCGUGAGGGAAAGGCGAAAAGAACCCCGGCGAGGGGAGUGAAAAAGAACCUGAAACCGUGUACGUACAAGCAGUGGGAGCACCUUCGGGUGUGACUGCGUACCUUUUGUAUAAUGGGUCAGCGACUUAUAUUCUGUAGCAAGGUUAACCGUAUAGGGGAGCCGCAGGGAAACCGAGUCUUAACUGGGCGUUAAGUUGCAGGGUAUAGACCCGAAACCCGGUGAUCUAGCCAUGGGCAGGUUGAAGGUUGGGUAACACUAACUGGAGGACCGAACCGACUAAUGUUGAAAAAUUAGCGGAUGACUUGUGGCUGGGGGUGAAAGGCCAAUCAAACCGGGAGAUAGCUGGUUCUCCCCGAAAGCUAUUUAGGUAGCGCCUCGUGAAUUCAUCUUCGGGGGUAGAGCACUGUUUCGGCUAGGGGGUCAUCCCGACUUACCAACCCGAUGCAAACUACGAAUACCGAAGAAUGUUAUCACGGGAGACACACGGCGGGUGCUAACGUCCGUCGUGAAGAGGGAAACAACCCAGACCGCCAGCUAAGGUCCCAAAGUCAUGGUUAAGUGGGAAACGAUGUGGGAAGGCACAGACAGCCAGGAUGUUGGCUUAGAAGCAGCCAUCAUUUAAAGAAAGCGUAAUAGCUCACUGGUCGAGUCGGCCUGCGCGGAAGAUGUAACGGGGCUAAACCAUGCACCGAAGCUGCGGCAGCGACACUAUGUGUUGUUGGGUAGGGGAGCGUUCUGUAAGCCUGCGAAGGUGNUGCUGGAGGUAUCAGAAGUGCGAAUGCUGACAUAAGUAACGAUAAAGCGGGUGAAAAGCCCGCUCGCCGGAAGACCAAGGGUUCCUGUCCAACGUUAAUCGGGGCAGGGUGAGUCGACCCCUAAGGCGAGGCCGAAAGGCGUAGUCGAUGGGAAACAGGUUAAUAUUCCUGUACUUGGUGUUACUGCGAAGGGGGGACGGAGAAGGCUAUGUUAGCCGGGCGACGGUUGUCCCGGUUUAAGCAUGUAGGCUGGUUAUCCAGGCAAAUCCGGAUAAUCAAGGCUGAGGUGUGAUGACGAGGCACUACGGUGCUGAAGUAACAAAUGCCCUGCUUCCAGGAAAAGCCUCUAAGCAUCAGGUAACAUCAAAUCGUACCCCAAACCGACACAGGUGGUCAGGUAGAGAAUACCAAGGCGCUUGAGAGAACUCGGGUGAAGGAACUAGGCAAAAUGGUGCCGUAACUUCGGGAGAAGGCACGCUGGUGUGUAGGUGAAGCCCCUGCGGGUGGAGCUGAGACCAGUCGAAGAUACCAGCUGGCUGCAACUGUUUAUUAAAAACACAGCACUGUGCAAACACGAAAGUGGACGUAUACGGUGUGACGCCUGCCCGGUGCCGGAAGGUUAAUUGAUGGGGUUAUCCGUAAGGAGAAGCUCUUGAUCGAAGCCCCGGUAAACGGCGGCCGUAACUAUAACGGUCCUAAGGUAGCGAAAUUCCUUGUCGGGUAAGUUCCGACCUGCACGAAUGGCGUAAUGAUGGCCAGGCUGUCUCCACCCGAGACUCAGUGAAAUUGAACUCGCUGUGAAGAUGCAGUGUACCCGCGGCAAGACGGAAAGACCCCGUGAACCUUUACUAUAGCUUGACACUGAACAUUGAGCCUUGAUGUGUAGGAUAGGUGGGAGGCUUUGAAGCGUGGACGCCAGUCUGCGUGGAGCCAACCUUGAAAUACCACCCUUUAAUGUUUGAUGUUCUAACGUUGGCCCCUUACCGGGGUUGCGGACAGUGUCUGGUGGGUAGUUUGACUGGGGCGGUCUCCUCCCAAAGCGUAACGGAGGAGCACGAAGGUUAGCUAAUCCUGGUCGGACAUCAGGAGGUUAGUGCAAUGGCAUAAGCUAGCUUGACUGCGAGCGUGACGGCGCGAGCAGGUGCGAAAGCAGGUCAUAGUGAUCCGGUGGUUCUGAAUGGAAGGGCCAUCGCUCAACGGAUAAAAGGUACUCCGGGGAUAACAGGCUGAUACCGCCCAAGAGUUCAUAUCGACGGCGGUGUUUGGCACCUCGAUGUCGGCUCAUCACAUCCUGGGGCUGAAGUAGGUCCCAAGGGUAUGGCUGUUCGCCAUUUAAAGUGGUACGCGAGCUGGGUUUAGAACGUCGUGAGACAGUUCGGUCCCUAUCUGCCGUGGGCGCUGGAGAAUUGAGGGGGGCUGCUCCUAGUACGAGAGGACCGGAGUGGACGCAUCACUGGUGUUCGGGUUGUCAUGCCAAUGGCACUGCCCGGUAGCUAAAUGCGGAAGAGAUAAGUGCUGAAAGCAUCUAAGCACGAAACUUGCCCCGAGAUGAGUUCUCCCUGAGACUUUAAGUCUCCUGAAGGAACGUUGAAGACGACGACGUUGAUAGGCCGGGUGUGUAAGCGCAGCGAUGCGUUGAGCUAACCGGUACUAAUGAACCGUGAGGCUUAACC
rnacentral:rRNA from 1 species